GACGAACGCUGGCGGCGUGCUUAACACAUGCAAGUCGAACGGUAAGGCCCUUCGGGGUACACGAGUGGCGAACGGGUGAGUAACACGUGGGUGAUCUGCCCUGCACUUCGGGAUAAGCCUGGGAAACUGGGUCUAAUACCGGAUAGGACCACUGCCUGCAUGGGUGGUGGUGGAAAGCUUUUGCGGUGUGGGAUGGGCCCGCGGCCUAUCAGCUUGUUGGUGGGGUGAUGGCCUACCAAGGCGACGACGGGUAGCCGGCCUGAGAGGGUGACCGGCCACACUGGGACUGAGAUACGGCCCAUACUCCUACGGGAGGCAGCAGUAAGGAAUCUUUCGCAAUGGGGGCAACCCUGACGAAGCAACACCGCGUGGAGGAUGAAGGCGUUUUCGUUGUAAACUCCUUUUCUGAGGGAAUAAUUCUGAAGGUACCUCAGGAAUAAGCAUCGGCUAACUACGUGCCAGCAGCCGCCGUAA
rnacentral:rRNA from 1 species